rnacentral:ribozyme from 12 species
UGACAUUUUACGUUUUUCAUUGGUCAUUGUUGGGCUUUUUCUAAUAGGGGGACUAUUUACAAAUAUGAGAAGGAGAGUCCCGUAUGUGUCAUACAGGACACAAAAGACCAAGUACUGACUUAACUGGGACAGUUUUGGCCAGUUUUGCCUCCUCUCAGAAUUUUGACUUCAGAUGG